GGAAGAUUGAUUGAAUUCUUGUGGUGUUACACAGGGCUCAGCUUGUUCUAUCGGAUAUUUACAGUGUCCUGUGUGUGAACAUGAACCAGGAGAUGGCCUUCAGUUCACUGCUGAGCCUCAAAACAAAAAAGGCAAAGAACGUUACAACAGCUUGGCCAUCUUUGUUCAUCAGCACAGUUGAUCAGUAUCAGUGUCAGAGUCUCAGUCCAACCCUCCUUUUUUUGCUGCUUGUUUUCUCCAACAUUGAGAAUGCCACAGAAAGCAGAAGCUGGUGCUCCCCACCUCGCAGUUAUCAGCAGCUUUGAAACAACAUUAGGACUCAUCUACAUUAAGAAACAUAGUUGCAACCACUAGAUUUCUGCUCUGGGAUCUUUUAUAAAGUCCGAGCUCCUAAUGUACUUCAACCCCGGAGACCAGUCUGAGCUUUGUAAAUGAAGCACAUAGCGCUGAGGAUAAGGAGUACAGAACCACAAACCCAGAACUCAGCCCUGCUCACAGAUCAGGUGAGUACACAAAGAGCAGCCAGCUCUGGAUAGAGCUCUGGUAAUGAAAGAGUCACAAAGAUAUGAUUUUGGGUUGUAGAUGUCAUUGCUCCCACAGCCUGAGUACAUCUCCAUCUUCAGUACUGCAACAAAGGUGACUUGUGCAGGGAAUUUUAUUCCUGUAUUUCCCUGUGUUGGGGCUCCCAAAGGAAUAUCCCUGCUGUGACAAUAACAGUGACAAACUGAGGCAGGCAUGGGGUGAAAGUCUUCACAGAAUCAUGUGAGGUGGUGCCAGAUGUUUUACAGGUGAUGGUGUUGUUUAUGAGCAAGAGCAGAGGUGGUGUGGGGAAGGGUGUGAUGCUGUGCUGGCUCAGAUGAGCUAAGAAAACCAGGUCAUUAGGGAUGCUGGGCUGCUUUGUGUUCAAGCAGAGCUGUGUGUUUGGCAGCAUAAGGAAGGUUUUAAAGCUAAGCUGCAUGCACAGCCUCACCCGGACUGUCUUCUUAAAGGUCUGGAAGCUUCAUGCAAACCAUCAUUUUUCAAAGGAAUCAGGUGCUUGCUCAGGAGGAUCCAGUUAUUUGUUUUUUAGGCAUUUCUGAACAGAAAGAUAGAGCUGUGCAAAUGUACUCCUCAGCAUAAAGGUAUUUUCUUAACUGGACUUCCUCUCUCUCUCCCUUGUUCUCAAUUCCCAUCAAGCAGGCACUGCGUUCCUGCAGCAUUUUGGAGGGGUGGGCUGUUCCCCGCAGCUGUUAGCUGAAAGGGCUGUGCUUCAGUCCCCAUGGAAACAAUUUGGAGAGUUUCUGAGCUUGUGUAGCAUUGCUGCACUGUAUUUCGCCUCUCUUUUCACUUCCAUUAGGAGUUCUGCACAGCUUUAAUUCAUUCAUGUUUGAAAAGCACUUUGAGGUCCUUGAAGAAGGUGCUAUAGAGAAGCAAAGUGUUAUUACCUCAGAUUAACUGUUUCUGUUUUGCCCUGGAGUCACUGCUGUACUUGCUUGCUGUGCUUGGUGAAAGCCAGAAUGAGGAGCGAGGGCGUCUUGUCAGUGACGGCCUCCUGGAGAGCUCUUCUGCGCUGCUGAAAGUCACCUCGACACCGGCUGCCAGGAUAAUCAAAACUUCUGUGAGGGCAGGCAGAUGGGGACUACAUUCUGGAAAGCUCGAUCUUCAGGAGUAAAAUGGAGGGAGACUGUAGAAGAAGAUAGCACCACAGCUCGAUGGUGCUCUGAUGCAUACAAUCACUGAACAUCACAGACCAUGGGACACAGCAGGUGAGAGCUUGUGACACCUGCAAGAGUAAUUGCUGCUGCCAUGGUUUCACAACCAUCCUCCAGCCCAAAGGUCCCCAGCACAAGAAGAACGUGGUACAUCCUUGAGGAACGCACGAUCUGCCAUGCUCAGCACAAUUACACUCUAUUCCACCUGUACUGAUUUCUCUGCGAGGGCAGCCACCCUUGUACCGUGAAGCCAACCUGUGCAUCUGACAGGUGUCAGCAAGGCUGCAUGUUCUCAGCUGCCUCCCCUAAGCAAGGCCUGUCUGAAGAUAGUAAUGCUACUGAAAUAUGCAGCUACCUCAGGGAUCUACAUCCACCUGAGCCAGGGGCUUUCAGUUUGCUUUCUGCUCCUGAUGUCAGUGGUGUGCGUACAGGGCUCUGGUGUAGCUUGGAGCAGGCUGCACCCUGCUGCCAUGGCCAAGUGUAUCCCAUAAGUGUUUGUAAUUCAGAAAAUAACAUGAUACAGCCUAAAGGGUCGUUCACAUUUCUACUCUCUGCCCAGCAUCUCGUCACCUUUCAGGUACCUGGUGGUCCCCAGUCUCACCCAGAUGCUUGCUAAACCAUUUGUCCUUGGGAAUUACUGCAGAGCUCUGGGUAAAUACGCAUCCAUACACUGGGCUUUGGUGUCCCCACCUCUCACUGCUCCACUGCUUCAGUGUGUGGGAGCCCUGUUGGGUGAUUCCCCUACAAAAUCCUCCCCAGCUUUCUGCCGCAGUGGCCUCCCGCGUUGUAAAGAGGAGACUGCAGCUGCUGGCGAGGUUUUCUGAAGAGCCUGCCAACAGGCAUUGUAUCUGGGCUGCAUUUUUCCUUCCCUUCUUCAGUUCUGCUUUGUGUGUGUAUGCGUGUGUGCGGUGUUGUUGUUUUAAUAAUGCUUUUCUUUUUAAUUAAUCAUGGCUAUCUAGGAAGUUACAAACAAUAAGAAAAAGAUAAACUUUCACUGCCUGCCUCAUUAGGGAUACAGUACAUCUCCCCAUCUCUGCUCUUAUUCCCAACAAUUACAGGAGCCAGGCUUAAACUGUUUAUUUUAGCAUCUAAAAGAAGUUGUGUCCCAGGCAUGUUUUCACCAGUUUGGUGUGAUCAGAUGAAAACCACCACAAGAAAUGAAAGGAUCGAUUUCUAUCCCAGCCAGAUCCUUGCCUGGAAGUCUCCUCAAACCCCAGGCCAGGCAUAGCCAGUGGGGUGCGAGUCAUUGCUCUGUCACAGCAGCCUGACGUGAGCCUGAGCUGAGUGGGUGCCCCAAUGCAUCCUCCCCAGCCUGGUGACACCCAGCCCCUGCUUGUUCCCCAUGCCUUGUCUAUAGCUUACACCAUGCUCUCUGCCACAAUACUUCAGUCUCCCCUUGCCCCUUCUUCAUGUCCUCCCACCGUGUGAUUCAUUCAUGGUUCAGAGAUACCAGCCCAAAUGGAAAAAAACCUCAUCAAACACUCUGUACAUUUCCUAGUGACUCAGUAGGCUGACCAGCUCACUCAGUCACUCACUCCCUGCCAGAUAAGCUUCCCUGUCUCCCUGUGUCUCUCUCGAUGGUCACUGCUGUUUCUUUGCUGUUUCCUACACAACAAAUCUCAGGAUGCUGCAGCAGCCCAAUGCAGAACUCUCCCUCACUGACCCUGCCACACAGGACAAGGAGUGGCAUAAAGCCCUGACUGCAGCAGCUCUGCCUAUGGGACUGCACAGCAGAACUAUAAUUUCUCCCUCGGUUUCUCCAGUUUGGCUACGCACAAAUUACUUUGUCAUUGUGGUGAAACAAAUAAGGCUUCAUUAUCAUUACCAUCCUGAUGGGAGUAAACAAGUUUAUUUACACUUGAGCACUACUGAAGAAUAAAGUCAUAGAGGAAAGUUCAUGGUAGGUGGCCUGUCUUUGUUGUUAGGGACGGCUUUUACAAAAUCACUGCCCGCUCAGCAGGACAGGCUGCUAUUCAGGCAGGCCCGGGUUAAUGAAAGUACGGUGUGUGCUUGUUAAAAGGAGGACUACAACACUUGUAAUCAUGGGUGGUCACAUUUUUAUUUAAUGAUACGUAUCUUCCCUUUCUCUGGCGUUCAUUCUUAACUCUUUGCCUCCCACUUGCAUGUAGUUAUGCAAUGACUAAUUAAGGCCCGCAUGGUAAAACCUGACACCAAGUCCACAACCAGUUAAACCCACUUAACGAGUCAUUUCUGUUUCUAAAUAAUCCUUUUGUUAACAGCCCUCAUAUACCAAAAGCAAAAAGACCUCAAAGCAGAAAGGGCCCCACAUGUGUAAUCACUGGAGCUAAAAUAAUAAUAAAAGGACAACUGCAAACACUCUUGUGGAGGAAAAGGCUGCAAAACAGAACAGCUUCCUUUCUUUCAAGGCCUUGCUUUGGCCCCAGUGAUAAAUCUGUUGGGACAAGGAUACUUCAAAGCCAGAAGAUUAACCCUGCCCUCACUUGUGUGAGUCCCAAAGCUUGUGUCAAUGGAGUUAUCCCCGGGCAGGAGGCUCAGCCUUGCUGUUCUUAUCUACAGACGCAAAGAAAGCUGAAGCCAGCUAUGAUGGGGAAAAGGAAUCUAUUUAUCUUUGACAUGACCUUGCUGAAUUCCUGAGCAUAUCAUUCUGCCCUGAACAGCCUUCCACCUUCCAAAUGCCCCUGUGACUUCUUAUGACUGACUGGUCUGAGGUGUUUGUGCCUGGAUCCUGGGGAAUUUCAAGCUCAGAUGUCACUUCUGCAUCUUUCAGCAUGUUACAGAGCUGCACAGGAGGAUAUGUACAUGUGUAUGCCCACACGCAAAGGCAGAACUCACCAUUGCUCACACCGUGUGUUAAUCAGUCUGUUGCAGGCUGUUACUUGUUUCUGUGGUCAUGCAUAGAAGUCUGUCCACCUGCCAGCUUUGCUCUCUCCCCACAGUAAUUCUUGGACUUCACUUUUGACAGAGGAGCAGAGAUGUGACAACGUAUUUCUCAAAGCUUUGGAAAACCCACAGGUGGAUGGAAAGCUGAUACUCCAGUGCAGUGUGUGAAUUAUUGCCUGUCACUUACGGAUCUUAGUCACAAACAUUUUCCAGUAGCAUUUAAGAAUACAAAAACCCAAAUUAUAAGCAGUUUUGGAAUGGGAAAUGUUCCCUGCUCUCUUAUCCCAAUCCUGAGUGGACAGGGAGAGCAAAAUGCUUAAGGCAAAGCUUUGUGCAAUGAUCUGACUUAGGUGCAAUUCCUCUCUUUGGUUUCCUUAUGGGUCAGAGUAGACCUACUGAGCAUGGCUCCCACCCUGCUCUCAUUCCAUACUCCUGAGUCCAGGAGGGGCUGUGAACUGCUCCCACAACCCUGACUGAGGCCUGGGACAGCAGAGCAGGAGGAGCCCACUGCUAAGGGAGAGCAUCACGAGCAUUGCUAGUGUUGACAUGAGCACGUCCCUGCCUGCCCAGUGCUCCCAGCGCUCCCUGGCCCUACUUUAACCUCUGCUUGAAAGGAAGCAGUCUGCUGGCUGCAUGGCUUGUGAUAAGAGGGUGAAUGAUGGACUUCUGGUACAAUGGAGCCUCCAUGUAUGGCAGGCUGAGCUAGGAAACCCAGGUAUCUAAAGGUGUAUUUCAACCAAGCAAUUAGCUGCACCAAAGGUUUUGGUAAGGCUGCAAGCCUUUGUCCCUGAGCUCACAUCUACUCCCACUCAAAUACACAGUGCUCAACAGAUGAGGGCAACGUGUCCAGGGUACCUCAUCCUCAGUUACUUGUAUAAACCUGAAGCAUGACAACAUGAGCAUCAGGGGGAAUGGUGGCAUCAGUAAAGAGAGCAGGUGAAGUGUCACUGGGGUAAACCAAACUGCUGCUGAGGCUGCAGGUGGCAAAUUGGACAGUGUUGUCUCUGAAGCAGAGAAUACAGAGUUAUUGAAUAAAUAUGCUAAGAUAACAGGCAGUGCUGACCACGUGCAUAACUAAUACUUGUUGCUUAAAAAUUGUUAACCCCACUGAGUGCGCUACACAUUUCAGCAACCAAACAGGGAGCCCUGCUGGCCUCCCUGGCAGUAGGUAAACCAGGACCCAGAGAGCCAGGGCUCCCACUGCCAGCUGAUAUCCCACAGUGUGGGAGCUAAACUAGAGGGGAUAGUUCAGAAAAAAAGCAAGGAAAGUGAAUUUGUUUGUUUGUUUUUAUUUUAAAUGUUGGAAACUGUCUUGGAGUAUAAAGGAAGGAGAGAUUCAGGUGAAGAUAAUUCUAAGUGAGUCCUGAACUUCUCACCUGGCUGACUCCUCUGCUCAGAGGCAGAAACAAACCCAACUGGGGACUCAGGAACAGCUGGGGUCACCUAUGAGCCACACAGUUACUGAAGGCAGGGCAGCUCUAGGAGUCUGCUUUCACCUUUCUUCUUUUUCUGCCAUUUUCCAAGUAACUAAAGAAGGCAAUGAGGAGCUGUCAGUGGUGUGAGGGUUAAUGAAUGAAAGCUUGCACCUCACUGCAGCGAGGCAAAAACCUCUGAGUUUUCAUGUUGUCACAAAGGUGUUGCAGAGCUUACAGCGCAUUAAAUAUCCCAGAACUCCUGCAAACGGCAGGAUUCACAUUUGCAGGCUAUAAUUACAGAGUCUCCAGCACCCUCCCACACUGUGCAAUGCUUCCACAGGCAAAAGCAGCCAAACACCUGUCCCAGGCUCCCAUGGGUUUGCAGGUCCCUGCUCGUGCCAGGCUCAGCUGCUGGAGGAGCCAGCUGCCCUUUCCUGCAGCCUUCCUGCAUGGCUGGGUCACAGCAGGCAGUCAGAUGGGGAUUUUGGUGUGCAACAUCAAUUCCACCCCAGAACACUGUCAGUGCAGUCAGGUUUGCAAACAGGUGCUCAGAGGCAGGUUAAUUUGAUGCCACUUUGUAGUCAUUGUGAUGACUGCCUUGAACACAAGUGCCAUAGGCUCCAGGCACAUAAGUUUUCAGGGCUUCACUGGGGCCAGGCAGCACCAGGUUUGCAGAAGCUUGGCUCCUAUUGCUGUGCACUGCAGGGUCUUCCCCAGCGCCUUGUUGUGAAGCCGGUUACAAGCUGAUGUCAUGGGAGGCUCUGCCUGGACUGGCAUGGGCAGGUUCCUCCACCGAGGCGCUUCUCUCUGCCUUCCAGGCACUUUUAGGAGAGCCCUUCCAAAGCAUCCUCCCCUCCCAGCCCCCACAGCCAGUUGUUCUUCCUUCCUCCUCUCAGUCUCCAAGUCAUGGCAGUACUAAUGCCAGAUCCAGAGGAGACAGCUGGCAGGAGAGAAGCUCCCCGGCACCUUGCUGGGCAGCACCUGGCUCACUGCAGGGAAGGCAGAGCUCACAGCCCACACUCAGGGCCACCUUGGGAAUGAAGCCUCAGCGCUUACCCAACAAAUGCAAUGUGCCAAGUGGGGUAAAUGUGGAGGCUGUGGCUGUCAGGGAGGACCACAGCCACCAGCUGAAAUGCAGCAGCACCAGGAGGUGGUGGUGUACGGGCAGUGACACCUCUGAUGAGUGGACUCAUGCAAAGGAAGACCUUCAGUUUUUUAUGUCUUAUCUAUUCGUGCUCCAUCUUUAGUAUCCCCCAGCACUGCUCUGUGCAAACAUCCUCCACAUCCAGGAGGAUCAGUGAUAACCGGUGGGACACACACUGGUUCCUGACAGCAGCCCAGGUCCAUCUGUCCCGCUGUGACCCUGUCUAAAUUUUCCAAGUCAUGUUUGUCUCAGUGUGCUCUGCCUGGAUUUGGCCUGACGUCAAACACCCCAAACAUGACUCGCAGCUACUGUUACUCGUUAUCGCUGUAGCUGUUACUUUAUUAGCCCUCAACAGUUGGUCCUCCUGUGUUACGCUCUGAAAUGACUAAUGCCGAACCCAAUAAAGAGCAUCUGACAUUGCUGUGUGUGAAUAGCUGCUGUAGGCUUAACAGGCAGCCGUAUGACUUGUCAUGUGGGCAAGUGGAUAUACCCCCAGUAAGUUUGGUGUGUGUCCCAUAAUCCUGCUCCAAGGGCACCCAUUACGUCAGCUCCCUGUGGUGGCUGCGGGGCUCCCCAGGAACAUGGCAUGGCAGCUCUGGCAGUCAGGGAAUUCCCUUUUGCCACCCUAACCACAGGGAAGCAGCUGGUGCUGAGCACAAGGUAAGAUGUGUGCGUAACUCAUACAGAGAGCUUUCCUCUUACCGCUAGCAGAAGAGCACAAGUAGUUCCUCAGUCAUCUCGUGUGCUCCCUCUUGCUUUACAUCACUUGCUUCUGUCUUUAUGACACCCAAACUGAAACUGAGGAGCAGCUGCAGGCCCCCAGAGCAGCCCUGGCCCUAAAGCACUGCCAGGUCCUGCUCAGCCCUUGCAUUUCCCUGUGCUCUGCAAAAUCCUUCCCUCUCCUGCUUGCUCUUGGGUGCCUCCUUCUGCAAUUACAUGAAACCCUCGUGAUCCCGCAUUGCACAAGCCAUUUGCUCCCCUUCAUUGUUUCCCCAGUGGGUAUUUAUUUGAAGGGUUUCAUUAAAUUAUCUCACCAGCAUCACUUGGUACACAACUACAAAUUAAUUCAGUUUGCAUUUUGGCUGACCUAAUAUUCAUUAUAUUCCAAUCAAGUGCAUGUGUUUUCUAUUUGAUGGUUGGUUCCAUGAUAAGAUACAUGGUCCAAAGUACUAUACUUAGGAAUAGGAGUAAUAUUUACUGACACUCCAUGCAAAUACUGCAAUUACCUGAUUAAUUACAGCCCUUACAUUUGGUUCAGUAGAUUGCACUCUUAUCCCUCUAUUCUCCCCCUCUGUCCCUGUUGCCAUAUCUGUUUAUGGUUGACGUGAAUAGCUUUCAGAUCUGUGUAAAUUAAGCAAAUCUAUCACUAUAAAACCUAAGCACUACAUGGUUGCACAGAAGUGCCUCCCAUUCCCCAUCACUGUGCUUGUCCAUGGCAGUUUGGUGUGGCUGAAGUGCACUGAGCAGCUCCAGUGCUGUGAUUCAGCAACAUCCUCAGUCCAAGGGGAUGGAAAUCAGAGCUGAAAUGUGGCCCUUAAGAAGAAUGGAAAGGAAAGUCAAGAGGGAAACAACAUUAAACAUGCAGGAGUGCUGUAACUGCGGUUCUCCUUAACCACAGAAAAUAAGCAGGCUGUAGUGGGAUUGACAGACAGACAGCUGCGUGAGGGAACAUUACAUUUUCACAGCAGUUUGCAUUCUGGGAUAAAAAACACCUUUAAAACCUCCAUGCCACCAAGCCAUAAAGCAGCCACUGAAGUCAGUAGCCUCUAUGACACAUAUUACUAGCCACGUUUUGUGUUUAAGUGAGAUUAGCAGGCAAUGCUCAGGCAGAAGCAUUUGGCUUUAUUUUUGAUGCUGACUGUGGCCCCUCUGCUGACACCAGUGAAGUCAGCCCUGGCACAGCUGCCAGAUAGAGGAAAUAGUUGGGAAACAGAGGUGGAGGGCUGGAAACUGCUCCUGGCUGGGUGGUGACACUAGACAAAUGGGCUUUGCCAGGGAGACCUCAACACAGAGAUUAACAGAAAGGAGCAUGAGAGCUCAAAUGUCCCCCACCUCCCAGCUCAUGCAUUUAUUCUUACCCAUAACUGCUUCAUCCUCCCUCUGCCAUUUUGGCCUCCUCUUGCUCACCCUGUGCUGUUUGUAGCCUGUUACAGGUGUGGCUCCUCCCUGCCACCUCUUCCCACAGCCUCUGCCAAGCAGAGCUUCCUGCCCCCCUGCCAGGAGCUUUCCUGGGGGCUUCCCUUUGUGCUUAAGCACCCUGCAGUCAGGAAUCCUGCAGCAGUGCAGUUUUGUUAUCUGCAUGCCAAAUCCAUCAAUGAGCUGAUCUCCAAGGUGAAAUAAAAACAUGCAUUACAAAUGAAAUGCUUUAUUGCUCUCCUUUGCCUUCUCCUGAUCACCAUCACUGGAGAUCUUCGGGGUUAGUGUGAAAGACAGCUUUUCCCUACUAAUUAACAUCUCAAAGUAUUCCUCUCACCCUGCCACCAUGACAAGGGCUGUUAGAGCCGGGGCUGUUUAUUGAAAUAAUUCAGUACUUGAGAAAUAUCAGAGGGCUCCCUGUAAUCGCACAGAACUAUCUUCAAACUGGUUCUGUAUUGCAGAAUUUUGUUUCUUGCAACAGUAAAUAGUCUGGCCAAAGAAAACACUGCGCUGUAUGCAUCAUCUGUGAAAAGUCACUGAACAUACCUGUGCUUCCAGUUCCUUCUUGGAAUCCCACACUCCCUUUGUAAAGCUCACAAACAGCUGGAGACAGAUAUGGUCUUUACUCUGCAUAUCUGCACUGCUUGGUUCAAAACCUAAUUUCCCAUAGGUUUUUCCUGCAUCCUACAAAAUCCAUAAGCCACAGUUUUUUGUACAGGUGUGGGGUAACCUGGGGCACCCGCUGACUUGCAGAGUUCCUCAGAAGGGUCUGCAUGUUCCUGCAUGCAUUAGCACCAGGGUCAAGUCUGUGUGUCCCCAUCCUGGCAUCAAGCCUGCAAAACUGGGGAAAUCCCAUUCUCUGUAAGCUGCCUUCCAUAUCCUCAAGGUUUCAAACCAGAUGGAUGGCUCAGGGAAGCCCUGAUCCUCCUGUGGCUGCUGGUUGGCACUUGGAGAUGAGAGCAAGUGAAAGGA